UACGAAGGGGGCUAGCGUUGUUCGGAAUCACUGGGCGUAAAGCGCACGCAGGCGGGUCGUUAAGUCAGGGGUGAAAUCCCGAGGCUCAACCUCGGAACUGCCUUUGAUACUGGCGAUCUUUGAGUCCGGGAGAGGUGAGUGGAACUCCGAGUGUAGAGGUGAAAUUCGUAGAUAUUCGGAAGAACACCAGUGGCGAAGGCGGUUCUCUGGGCAUUACCUGACGCUGAGGAGCGAAAGUGUGGGGAGCGAACAGG
rnacentral:rRNA from 1 species